GCAACUUUUCCUUUAUGUAGCCAUCCAUUUUGCCUUCUUGCUCCUUGGUUUUUCUUGUUGCAUUCUGGUUUGAAUACGUUUAAUAUUUUUGUCCACUUCUAUAAUAUAGCUUUCAAAUAGCGCUGAAGGUGGUUCUCUACUCAAAGAUAUUCCUGCUACUAAGGAUGGAAGGGUUGAUUGGUCACAGGAUUUCUUCUGCAAACCAGCAUUUCUGACAGUGUCUGGACAGCUUAAUGGUGAAACAUAUGCUUCAGCUCUAUCUGAUAUUUACACAUUUGGUCCAACGUUUAGGGCUGAAAAUUCAAACACUUCAAGGCAUCUGGCUGAAUUUUGGGUAUUUGAAAUCCUCAAACCUCUAUCUUUAGAAUCCGACAUAAACACUGAAUUCACAUCUUUUGCUGUUUUAUUGUUGUGGGUCAAGAUGAUUGAACCUGAGCUUGCCUUUGUGGAUCUGAACGAUGACAUGGCUUGUGCAACUGCAUAUCUCCAGUAUGUAGUAGGUGCCUUCCUCUAUCAUUUUAAAAUAUUUUGUGUAGACCAA